AACGAACGCUGGCGGCGUGGCUAAGACAUGCAAGUCGAACGGACUGCUCAAUUUAUUGGUCAGUUAGUGGCGUAAGGGUUAGGAACGGAUGGGUAACGUACCCUGUGCUUUGGGAUAGCGUCAUCCCGACUUCGGUCGGGAUUUCCGAAAGGGGCGGUAAUACCAAAUAAUAUCAUUUGUCUAUAGGCGGAUGAUCAAAGAUUUAUCGGCAUAGGAGCGGCCUGUCUCCUAUCAGCUUGUUGGUGAGGUAACGGCUCACCAAGGCAGCGACGGGUAGCGGGACUGAGAGGUUGGCCCGCAACAUCGGGACUGAGACACUGCCCGGACCUCCACGGAGGGCUGCAGUAACGAAUAUUGUGCAAUGGGCGAAAGCCUGACACAGCGACGCCGCGUGUAGGAGGAAGUCCUUCGGGAUGUAAACUACUGUCAGGGGGAAGAAAGUGCGCUUCGGCGCAUUGAUCUAACCCAGAGGAAGUACAC
rnacentral:rRNA from 1 species